UGGGGAAUAUUGGACAAUGGGGGCAACCCUGAUCCAGCAAUGCCGCGUGUGUGAAGAAGGUCUUCGGAUUGUAAAGCACUUUCGACGGGGACGAUGAUGACGGUACCCGUAGAAGAAGCCCCGGCUAACUUCGUGCCAGCAGCCGCGGUAAUACGAAGGGGGCUAGCGUUGCUCGGAAUGACUGGGCGUAAAGGGCGUGUAGGCGGUUUUGACAGUCAGAUGUGAAAUCCCCGGGCUUAACCUGGGAGCUGCAUUUGAGACGUUAAGACUAGAGUGUGAGAGAGGGUUGUGGAAUUCCCAGUGUAGAGGUGAAAUUCGUAGAUAUUGGGAAGAACACCGGUGGCGAAGGCGGCAACCUGGCUCAUUACUGACGCUGAGGCGCGAAAGCGUGGGGAGCAAACA
rnacentral:rRNA from 1 species